GAACGAUGUGUGUUAGACGUUGGAAAUUUAUUUUCAGUGUCGCAGCGAAAGCAAUAAACACACCGCCUGGGGAGUACGACCGCAAGGUUAAAACUCAAAUGAAUUGACGGGGACCCGCACAAGUAGUGGAGCAUGUGGUUUAAUUCGAAGAUACGCGCAGAACCUUACCAACACUUGACAUGUUCGUCGCGACUUUAAGAGAUUAAAGUUUUCGGUUCGGCCGGACGAAACACAGGUGCUGCAUGGCUGUCGUCAGCUCGUGUCGUGAGAUGUUGGGUUAAGUCCCGCAACGAGCGCAACCCUCACUUUUAGUUGCCAUCAUUUAGUUGGGCACUCUGAAAGAACUGCCAGUGAUAAGCUGGAGGAAGGUGGGGAUGACGUCAAGUCCUCAUGGCCCUUACGUGUUGGGCUACACACGUGCUACAAUGGUAUUUACAACAGGAAGCAAGACGGCGACGUUUAGCAAAUCCUUAAAAAAUACCUCAGUUCGGAUUGCACUCUGCAACUCGAGUGCAUGAAGCUGGAAUUACUAGUAAUCGUGGAUCAGCGUGCCACGGUGAAUGCGUUCCCGGGUCUUGUACACACCGCCCGUCACACCAUGGGAGUUGGUUCUACCUUAAGGCAAGGUUUUAAACCCUUGACCACGGUAUAGUCAGCGACUGGGGUGAAGUCGUAACAAGGUAAAUC
rnacentral:rRNA from 1 species